rnacentral:rRNA from 1 species
GACGAACGCUGGCGGCGUGCUUAACACAUGCAAGUCGAACGGAAAGGCCCUGCUUUUGUGGGGUGCUCGAGUGGCGAACGGGUGAGUAACACGUGAGUAACCUGCCCUUGACUUUGGGAUAACUUCAGGAAACUGGGGCUAAUACCGGAUAGGAGCUCCUGCUGCAUGGUGGGGGUUGGAAAGUUUCGGCGGUUGGGGAUGGACUCGCGGCUUAUCAGCUUGUUGGUGGGGUAGUGGCUUACCAAGGCUUUGACGGGUAGCCGGCCUGAGAGGGUGACCGGCCACAUUGGGACUGAGAGACGGCCCAGACUCGUACGGGAGGCAGCAGUGGGGAAUAUUGCACAAUGGGCGGAAGCCUGAUGCAGCAACGCCGCGUGCGGGAUGACGGCCUUCUGGUUGUAAACCGCUUUCGCCUGUGACGAAGCGUGAGUGACGGUAAUGAGUAAAGAAGCACCGGCUAACUACGUG